UCUUCAGGCGAACAUUGGCAUCGAAGUGAUACCCUAUGAUAUCAAGAAAAAUCCUAUGGAACAAAGAAGCAGAUAAUGAUCACAGAAGUGCAACAAAGAGCACCAGGACCUGAUCAUCAAAUGUUAUGGUGUAGAUCUAAUCAAGAACAGGACACCUAAGUUGAACUCUGGCAAGGUUGUCCCUUGCAGAAGGUUUGAUACCCAGCUAGGCUUCUUUUGUACAAGUCCCUAGUCCACCCUCAUCUUGAGAACUGUUCCUGUGUCUGGGAUCCCUACAACAUCUCAGAUGUCCAGGACGCUACUUCACAAUGGGGACCACAAGUGAACCAGCAGUUUGACUGAGAUGAUCAGCACCUUUAGUUGCCUACUAUAUCUACAACUACAAGGCACUCUGCAAGAAGACUGGGAAUGGUGCACAAGAUAGUCGAUGGUCUCUCCGCUCUCCCUUGAAAAUUUUCCCACUGCACUACUUAUAGCUACUUGCGCCCUCUAUAUAGCAAACAAUGCCUAAUCGGUGCCUGUUGGUCCCCCAUGAUCCUCUUUUUCUUAUAUUAAUUGAGAGCUGAUUUGAUGAGAUAACCACCUGUAAGUGACCUUGCAGGGUGGUCUAAUCCCCCAGACCAAACUAGUACAGACGGGCUUUAACAAAUCACGAGCAGGAAGUACCAUGACAUGACCCU
rnacentral:lncRNA from 1 species